GAGAAGUGCCUUUUGAAAUAAGAAAACUCCCGCACACCUUCACGCCUUUAACAGAGCAAAAGAACCCACACAUUUGCGUUGGCGCUUUAUUUCUUCCCUCCCUUCCCCUGCCUCCUUCUGGCCGAUUCAAAACUCUCUCGCCGAUUCGAAACGCUGCUGCAUUUCAGACCCAUACCGAAUAGGCGCUCCGAUCCGUCCCUGCGCCUUCACUGUUGUAUUGUUCGGAGAAACCCCAAUAGGGAUACGCGCUCCCCUCCUUUCCCUGCGGCUUCACUGUUCUACCCUUCGGAAGGCCCCAAAAGAGCGCUUCCGCUGUCCUCCCAGUAUGUGUCUCCUCUUAUAUGGCCAGCUCUGCAAUUACCUACUUGUGCUACACAUUCGCAUUUGAAAGUCCAUGCUAUCAUGGAUGGAGCAUUGAAAAGCUUGAAGCGCAGUUGGUCCAACAACUAUUAUUCAAGAAUGUUAGCUGGACAGAAGAAGCGCAAGAUAAGAGCCGUUCUUGCAAGCAGAGAAAGAGCAAAUACAGUGCAGAACUCAGUGCAUUGUUCAAUGGAGAGCUAGACGAAGUAUUCUACAAGGCUGGUCUCAUCCAUCUUACAUGUUUCUCCACGCUCCUUACUGAGCGUAACCUUGCCCAACCGGGGAUUCUAUGAUGCAGUCAUUAUAUGAUGUAAUUACUUUUUUGACCAUCGGAUGAUCACUAAAUUAUUUUUUUCUCCAUGUGAAACCAAGUAUCUAGAAGUCCAAUUGGAACCCGACCAAUCCAAAUUAGUCGGAUUAGCCCAUUAAGGGUUUAAAUCUCUUUCGGCGUUGAUUUUUUGCGCUAAUAACAACUCGAAUUCGAGACCUUACUUAAACGAACAAUCGCCGAACUGUUUGAACUAACCCUUGUGGUCAAUAAAUUAUUAUUAUUAUUAUUAUUAUUGCUAUCUGAGCCUUUCCACACUUUAAUAAGCUUACUACGUAUAUGUCUCAUUUCUUAUAAAAAAAAAUAAAAAAUAAAAAAGUAUGUGUCUCAUGUACAAGCUUUUGUGCUGUUAGAGCCUUUCCGUACCUCAAGAAGUCUAAAAUGAAAGAUGUUAUAUAGUGACACUUUAUUGUUUUGAAAGAAAAUUGCAGAUACGGAAACCCAAUGGAGAUCACACCAUGC